AGAAGAACUUCAGCACAAGCUUGCACAUACUCUGGAUAGAAAUGAGCAUCUUCCAGCCACUGUGGAUGAUAUUUGUGGAAAAUUUGAUAAGUAUGAAGAGGAAAAAG